UACGUAGGUGACAAGCGUUGUCCGGAUUUACUGGGCGUAAAGAGCGCGCAGGCGGUCGUUCAAGUCGAGUGUGAAAGCCCCCGGCUCAACUGGGGAGGGUCACUCGAUACUGAUCGACUCGAAGGCAGGAGAGGGUAGUGGAAUUCCCGGUGUAGAGGUGAAAUGCGUAGAUAUCGGGAGGAACACCAGUGGCGAAGGCGACUACCUGGCCUGUUCUUGACGCUGAGGCGCGAAAGCUAGGGGAGCAAACGGG
rnacentral:rRNA from 1 species